UACGAACUGUGCGAACGUUAUUCGGAAUCACUGGGCUUACAGGGUGCGUAGGCGGCUUGUUAAGUCGGGUGUGAAAGCCCCCGGCUCAACCGGGGAAUUGCGCCCUAAACUGGCGAGCUAGAGUGAGAUAGGGGUAUGUGGAACUUCCGGUGGAGCGGUGAAAUGUGUUGAUAUCGGAAGGAACGCCGGUGGCGAAAGCGACAUACUGGAUCUUGUCUGACGCUGAGGCACGAAAGCCAGGGGAGCGAACGGG
rnacentral:rRNA from 1 species